rnacentral:tRNA from 1 species
GGCUUCGUAAUUCAGUGGUAGAAUGCCUGCUUUACACGCAGUAUGCCGUGGGUUCGAUCCCCACCGAGGUCA